UGACGUCAGAGCCAAGCGGCGUCAGAGCGUCCAUUCGAGAACAGCACUGGGACGAGGGUAGACGUAUAGUUGUGUCCCGAAAUUAUAUUUGUUGUUCGGUAAAUAUUUACCCAUCAACACAAUUACUUCAGACAAAAUGCCACCGAAGACAAAAAUCUUCGUUGGCAAGCUGCCGCCAACGUGUAAGGAUUUUGAGCUGCGAAAAUUGUUUGAGCGUUUUGGUGAAGUCACAGAAUGUUCAAUCCUCGGCAAUUAUGCCUUUGUACACAUGAAGACAGAAGAUCAGGCUGGUAAUGCUAUCAGGAACUUGAACAACUGGGACCUCAAUGGCUUCAAAAUUAGUGUAGAGCAAUCCACGGGAGAGAAGCGAGCUGGUGGUAUGGGUGGAAUGGCAGGUGGAAGAGGUAUGGGUGGAGGAUUCCGUGGGCGUGGCGGCCCAAUGAGGGGAAGGGGUAUGGGUAGACCAGGACCAUAUGACCGCAGACCACCUAUGGGUGACCGAUAUGGCCCACCUCCCCCUGGCCCCCCACCACCUGCACCUCCCAUGAGAAAUGGAUAUUAUGAUGAUUACGAGCGCAGAGAUCGUCGCCCAUUGCCGCCAGCAGGUGGUUUGGACAGGCGCCCCCCACCACCACCCAUGCCCAGGGAGCCAGCAUACAGAGAUCCCUAUGACCGUUAUGAUUCUUAUGACCGCAUGCCUCCUCCACCAAUGGGCCGACGCACCCCACCCCCUAUGGACAGGCGGCCACCUCCCAUGGGCUAUGAUCGCAGAGAUGACCCAUACGGAGACAUGUACGGACCACGAGCUGAGUUAAACUGGGACAUGACCAGUCUGGGUUGAUGAUAUCCAGAUGAUGAACCCCAGAUGAAGGUUGUGAAGCAGCCCAAAGCCUGAGACUGAUUGUCUUGUCCCCUGGAAGUGCAGAGAACCUCAACGUGCAGUUUGAAAAGUUAACUCUCUGGUUGAGGAACUGCAGCCUGCUACACUUCUCCAAAAGGAUCUCAAACCAAGAAAAUCUUUUUAAAAAUUGAAGGAGAGCUUUCUUAUAUUUUUAUAUAUUUUGUUCAGAAUGUAUUUCUUAGUACAUGAAUUUAGAAAAAAUUAUGCUCCCUUUUAUCAGUAACUUUGGUAACAUCAUGGCUCAGGGUUUAAUUAAGGUGAUAUAGUUAGUGUAUGCAAUAAAGGAAAAUCAGAA
rnacentral:misc_RNA from 1 species